UACGGGGGGGGCAAGCGUUGUUCGGAAUUACUGGGCGUAAAGGGCUCGUAGGUGGCCAACUAAGUCAGACGUGAAAUCCCUCGGCUUAACCGGGGAACUGCGUCUGAUACUGGAUGGCUUGAGUGUGGGAGAGGGAUGCGGAAUUCCAGGUGUAGCGGUGAAAUGCGUAGAUAUCUGGAGGAACACCGGUGGCGAAGGCGGCAUCCUGGACCACGACUGACGCUGAGUGAGCGAAAGCCAGGGGAGCAAAAGGG
rnacentral:rRNA from 1 species